rfam:Candidatus Magnetobacterium bavaricum SAG41519, whole genome shotgun sequence.
UGUCACGUAACUCAGCGGUAGAGUUCUUCUCUGAUAAGGAAGCGGUCAUAGGUUCAAAUCCUAUCGUGACAA